GGGGAUAUAGCUCAGUUGGUAGAGUGCUUGCCUUAUAUGCAAGGCCCUUGGUUCAAUCUCCAGAACCACCA
rnacentral:tRNA from 1 species